rnacentral:ncRNA from 1 species
CUGAUGGUACUCGCAAGAGUUUAAUAGGGAAGUACGGUGAAAGUCCGACACAGACCCGCUGCUGUAAGAGGCAUUUAAAUCUUGUAAGCAUUUGCCACUGUUUUUACGGGAAGGCGCUUCCAAGGCCUUAAGUCAGAAGACCUGCCAUUAAUAUUAA